GGGGAUGUAUUUGCUUAGACGUAUCAGCUCAUUAACAACUGCAGACCAUCUUUGAUCAAAAGAUGUAAAACAGGAUUAAAACAUAACUGCAAAUAAAAUUCGCAGUCUAGUUGCUUCUAGUGUACAAGCUCUCGCGAGCCUGUUCGCUCCAGUUGCAGCUCCAGCCUACGCUUAAUUGCGCAGGUCGGCAUCCACUCGUUUCUUCUCACUGAUGAGAGCAAGUGGGUGACAACCCAGUCAGUGUGACCGUUAAUUAUUUCAUGCGCUAAUUAACAUAAGCAACAGCAUGGCUGCACAAGGAAAAGUUUGUUUAUUAACUUUUUUGUGCUUGAGCGAAAAUAAACUACGUCUGUAGAUGUUGUUCUUAAGUUAGAUAACGGACAGGGGGUCACACCCCCUCAUCUCCACAC
rnacentral:tmRNA from 1 species